rnacentral:rRNA from 1 species
GACGAACGCUGGCGGCGUGCUUAACACAUGCAAGUCGAACGAAAAUACCAAGCUUGCUUGGUUGAUUAGUGGCGAACGGGUGAGUAACACGUGAGUAGCCUGCCCCUUACUUUCCUGGAUAACUGCUCGAAAGGGUAGCUAAUACGGGAUAUUCUGACCAGCCUGCAUGGGUUGGUUUGGAAAGGUUGUUUUUCUGGUAAGGGAUGGGCUCGCGGCCUAUCGGCUUGUUGGUGGGGUGAUGGCCUACCAAGGCUUUGACGGGUAGCCGGCCUGAGAGGGUGGACGGUCACACUGGGACUGAGAUACGGCCCAGACUCCUACGGGAGGCAGCAGUGGGGAAUAUUGCACAAUGGGCGCAAGCCUGAUGCAGCGACGCCGCGUGAGGGAUGAAGGCCUUCGGGGUGUAAACCUCUUUCGUCAGGGAACAAGGCACUGCUUUUUUGGUGGUGUUGAGGGUACCUGGAUAAGAAGCGCCGGCUAACUACGUG